UGGGGAAUAUUGCACAAUGGGCGCAAGCCUGAUGCAGCCAUGCCGCGUGUGUGAAGAAGGCCUUCGGGUUGUAAAGCACUUUCAGCGAGGAGGAAGGUGGUGAGCUUAAUACGCUCAUCAAUUGACGUUACUCGCAGAAGAAGCACCGGCUAACUCCGUGCCAGCAGCCGCGGUAAUACGGAGGGUGCAAGCGUUAAUCGGAAUUACUGGGCGUAAAGCGCACGCAGGCGGUUUGUUAAGUCAGAUGUGAAAUCCCCGGGCUCAACCUGGGAACUGCAUUUGAAACUGGCAAGCUAGAGUCUCGUAGAGGGGGGUAGAAUUCCAGGUGUAGCGGUGAAAUGCGUAGAGAUCUGGAGGAAUACCGGUGGCGAAGGCGGCCCCCUGGACGAAGACUGACGCUCAGGUGCGAAAGCGUGGGGCAGCAAACAGGAUUAGAUACCCUGGUAGUCCACGCUGUAAACGAUGUCGAUUUUGGAGGUUGUGCCCCUUGAGGCGUGGCUUCCGGAGCUAACGCGUU
rnacentral:rRNA from 1 species